CGUCUCACACUGGGUUUUAGCCUUGACUGCACGUUGGAAUCACCUGAGAAGUUUUAAGAACUGCUGAUAACCUGGUAUCAUCUCCAGAGAAAAAUAAUGUGAUCGCUCUGCGGUGAACCCUCCCAGGUGAUUCUAAUACCUAGCAACGUUUGGGAACCAUUGUGCUCCCAGCAAGCCCGGCCCUCAGUAACUGUUCGCACUGCUCAGGUGAUGGCAACGUGCAGCCCGCCCAAGAACCAGUGCAUGAAGGCAGCUCCCUUCUCAGCAGAAAACUCAUGGUACUGAGUUGGGAGCUGCAGUGGGUCGCCAUUCCUGUUCUUAAAACUGGGAUUUCAGAGUUGGUAUCGUUUGAGCCUGUAAACAGACGACGGAGAGGCUGCUUUUCAAAGACAAUGAUUAAGACAAAGAAAUAAUUCAAUCUCUACAGCCUUGUAUUAUCCAAUUCAAGUCCAACUCAGUGGACAUGAAUUUGAGCAAACUCCGAGAGAUAGUGGACAGAGAAGGCUGGUGGGGUACAGUCCAUGGAGUCACAAACAGUUGGACACAACUUAGCAACUAAACAACAACACGCUUACAAAGCACUAGUUGUCGGCACAGAGAUUUGCAAAGGACUUUUCCAUCCUUGGAUAUUUUUAUGUCUUCAGUCCCUACUCUGAGAGCCCUCUCAACAGCUAGAUACACAUGAUGGUCGGUGCGAAUGGCAAGCCUUUCUCAGGCACCUCCAGAAACAGGAGCACUCAUUUCACAAAAGGAGGGAGAGGAUAUUUCUCCUACUGUCUUGCCCAUGUUCUACCAAGGACUUGGUCAUCCCUAUUUUGCCGAGUCUCCUGGUAACACCUAUUAACAGAGGCGCAUUCUGGAAAACACUAGCCUUGUAGGAGAUAUGUUGGAUUCUGAAACAAAAGACCUUUGUCCAAGUCUCCUCUGUGAUUUUCAGUUGGCAUCAGAUAAGGUCCUCCCUGGUGUGAGAGCUGGUAUUCGGGACCCCCCGGUUCCCACCUCUCAAACUGGUGGAAACACUCAGAUCAGCAUUCUGAAAAUCCACCUCAAGGAUUUUUCUGGAACUUGGCACCCUGAACUCAGCCACUUUAUGUUCACAAAACAUUCCUGGAAGAAAGAAUGCUGUCUACUUAGUUGGCGGAUGCUUCAUAUACACUUCAUCAGCUCAAGCUCAAAAUGCCUAAGCACAUGACAGCGAGCAAUGCUUAUGAAGGGUCCUAUUGAAUGGCUGAAGAAAGGUGAUCAGACAUCAGAAUUUAUAGCAGAGAAAGCAGCUGUUCUGUUUUGGAAAGCCACAGAAUUGCUUUGGGGUGGUCUUCAAGGAGCAGUCAACAAACCUUCAGGUUAAGCCCACAUUUGAUGAGAAUGCUGAUGGAUGAAGACAUACCUGUAUUGUGAUUUUUGCAGUGGACCAUGAUUCUAGAUUUUGUGCUUGAAGACGCGGACAAAGCAGCCAAUUUUACAACUGAUGAAGAGUUAAAAUUCUACUGAAGAUUUAUCUUCUUACAGGGCUGGAUCUAAUAGGCUCUGAUACUGGCCUGAACACACAGAGACUGUUUCCCUCGUUCAUUUCGCUCACCGGAUGGUGCAAGACUGCGGGUCAGAGCCAUCAUUAUCCAGUGCAAUGACGUUGCCUAGAAACGAAGAGA